CAAACAUUUCGAAUGUGUUAGCAUAGUGCGCUUUCAAUCAACAACGAAAAAAAAAAACUCGAUAAAGUUAUGAAGCUUGUCGAAUGGAGAUAAUUAAAGUCAGACGUUGAUUCAUGUGACAGCACUUAAAAAAAGCAGUAAAAUGUUCAUGUUGAUAAAAUGAGUGGCCCGGUAUUUCGGGAAUAACUUAAUUCUACAUCUCUAAUCUCUGCAACCCAAUAUACACGAACUGAUCAAAACAGUUAAAUCUGGUCGAUUGCAUCAAUACAAAUAUCAUCAAUCAGAAUAUUAUUUAAAGUGGUACGUAUUUAAUAAAGUACAUUUAACUUUAAAUCUAUAAUCGAAAGAAUGUGAAUCAGUUUUAUUAAACGAUAUUUAUUGCGUUUAAA